rnacentral:rRNA from 1 species
UACGUAGGGUGCAAGCGUUGUCCGGAAUUAUUGGGCGUAAAGAGCUCGUAGGCGGUCUGUCGCGUCGGUCGUGAAAACUUGGGGCUUAACCCUGAGCUUGCGGUCGAUACGGGCAUGACUGGAGUUCGGCAGGGGAGACUGGAAUUCCUGGUGUAGCGGUGAAAUGCGCAGAUAUCAGGAGGAACACCGGUGGCGAAGGCGCCACUCUGGGCCGAAACUGACGCUGAGGAGCGAAAGCGUGGGUAGCAAACAGG